AAUUACCACGACUCAAUGGGAAGUUACCCAUAUUCUAAAAUCUGCACGGAAAGAGUUCGAGAUGGGGUAAAGGAGGUGAAUGUGAGGUGGCUGCCAUGCCCCAAAUGCAAUUUGAGGUGGAAAGAUUCCUGGGUCCCUAAAACAGAGCUGGAAUAAUCCGGACAGAGGAGGAUGCAGCUUAUAUUUCUGCUUGUU